AAGUCGUAACAAGGUUUCCGUAGGUGAACCUGCGGAAGGAUUCAUUAAAUGUAAACCCCCUCGCAGGGGUCUUCUCUGCGCUUUCGACUAGUGCGUCUCGCACGUCGCCAGCAAAGUGAUUCUACACACCUGUGCACCUUUUCAGGCGUCUUUCGGGCACCUGCUUUUACACACGUCAGUCUUUUGGAUGUAACAUGUUAUUCGUACGCAUAAUACAA
rnacentral:misc_RNA from 1 species